AGAGUUUGAUCCUGGCUCAGGAUGAACGCUAGCUACAGGCUUAACACAUGCAAGUCGAGGGGGCAGCAUGGUCUUAGCUUGCUAAGGCCGAUGGCGACCGGCGCACGGGUGAGUAACGCGUAUCCAACCUGCCUUACACUCUUGGACAGCCUUCUGAAAGGGAGAUUAAUACAAGAUGUUAUCAUGAGUAAAAAGCAUUUUCGCAUGAUUAAAGGUUUACCGGUGUAAGAUGGGGAUGCGUUCCAUUAGAUAGUAGGCGGGGUAACGGCCACCUAGUCUUCGAUGGAUAGGGGUUCUGAGAGGAAGGUCCCCACAUUGGAACUGAGACACGGUCCAAACUCCUACGGGAGCA
rnacentral:rRNA from 1 species